rnacentral:rRNA from 1 species
UUGGAUGGUAGUGUAUUGGACUACCAUGGCAAUCACGGGUAACGGAGAAUUAGGGUUCGAUUCCGGAGAGGGAGCCUGAGAAACGGCUACCACAUCUACGGAAGGCAGCAGGCGCGAAAAUUGCCCAAUCCUGAUUCAGGGAGGCAGUGACAAGAAAUAACAACUUUCAACUUUGUUGAAAAGUGUAAUGAGGAUAAUUUACAAACCUUACCGAAAGCAAUUGGAGGGCAAGUCUGGUGCCAGCAGCCGCGGUAAUUCCAGCUCCAAAAGCGUAUAUUAAAGUUGUUGCAGUUAAAAAGCUCGUAGUUGAAGUUCUGGCUGUAUUGGGCCUUAGCACUUGAUGCGGAGGAACCAGCAGUCAUCCGCUUGCAAAUACAUGUCCUUCCUUAACCGGUAGGCUGUAUAAGUAAGCACUUUACCUUGAGAAAAACAGAGUGUUCCAGGCAGGUUUGUCCGGAAUGCGUUAGCAUGGAAUAAUAGAAUAUGACUGAAGUCGAUUUAUUGGUUUAAGGCUUUAGUAAUGAUUAAUAGGAACAAUCGGGGGCAUUGGUACUUGUCAGUCAGAGGUGAAAUUCUAGGAUUUGACAAAGACUAACUGAUGCGAAAGCGUUUGCCAAGAAUGUUUUCAUUAAUCAAGAACGAAAGUUAGGGGAUCAAAGACGAUCAGAUACCGUC